rnacentral:lncRNA from 1 species
GUUGGUAUCCAUUUAAAUUCAAAAUUUGAUUUGAAUUCAAAUGUGCAAUUACUCAUCUUUAUCCUUUUCUUUUGGAUAAGACAUUUGACGUUGUUAUAAAAGGAGGAGAAGAGUGGGGCAUGUAAGAAGAAGAUUUUUGAAGAAAAAUUUUGGGGUGUGAGAAGUCUUGUGCGUGAGAAGGAAGUCCAUAUCCUUUCAAGAGAAAAAGAAAGAAAAGAAAGAAAAGUGGGUGCAAGGUUUUCGGUGAGUUCCCUAGAGUUUUAGCCUGGGGUUCGGAAAGUGAGAAAGUGAGCUACGAGUGUCAUGAGCCCACAAAAUCUUAAGAAGAUCUUCAACAUCCUCUCAAGCAUAUCUGUUGAUAAUCUGGAGCAUCCAAAGAAUCGACAGAUAUCGAUCGAAGGAGUUCGAUCAGCAUCGGCCGUCAAAAGGGCUCUACAACGAGCUAGCACUCGUGAGGAGUCGA